GCCUCUGUAGCUCAGUGGUAGAGCGCGGGUCUUGUAAACCCGAGGUCACGAGUUCAACUCUCGUCAGGGGCU
rnacentral:tRNA from 2 species